rnacentral:rRNA from 1 species
AGAGUUUGAUCCUGGCUCAGGAUGAACGCUAGCGGUGCGCCUAACACAUGCAAGUCGAGCGGCGACAUUGGUUAGUCGAAGACAAGAUGGGGCAGCGGCGAACGGGUGAGUAACACGUUGGAACCUGCCCCGGACUCAGGGAUAGCCCGCCGAAAGGCGGAUUAAUACCGGAUGGUCCCGCAAGGGUAAAGCUUUUGCGGUCCGGGAGGGGCCUGCGCAGUAUCAGCUUGUUGGUAGUGUAAUAGACUACCAAGGCUACGACGCUUAACUGGUCUGAGAGGAUGAUCAGUCACAAUGGAACUGAGACACGGUCCAUACUCCUACGGGAGGCAGCAGUGAGGAAUCUUCCGCAAUGGGCGAAAGCCUGACGGAGCGACACCGCGUGGAGGACGAAGGCCUUUUGGUUGUAAACUCCUUUUCUGGGGGAAUAAAUGAUGAAGGUACCCCAGGAAUAAGCACCGGCUAACUACGUGCCAGCAGCCGCGGUAAUACGUAGGGUGCAAGCGUUAUCCGGAAUUAUUGGGCGUAAAGCGUGCGCAGGCGGUUUAGCAAGUUUGAGAUUAAAUCUGAUCGCUCAACGAUCAAUUCGUCUCAAAAACUACUAAGCUAGAGAAUGACAGAGGGCAACUGGAAUUCUGCAUGUAGGGGUAAAAUCCGUUGAUAUGCAGAGGAACACCAAAAGCGAAGGCAGGUUGCUGGGUCAUUUCUGACGCUGUUGCACGAAAGCGUGGGUAGCGA